CGGUUGAGUGAGAUUACCAAGCUUAAAUGACAUGUCCAAGGUGUAUUCGAGAUGUGGCAUGGCGGUAAUAGCUGCUGAGAGUUUAUGUGAUGUUCGGCAAGCCGGGCAUGUCAUAUGAGCUUGGUAGUUUUUACUCAGCCG